rnacentral:piRNA from 1 species
ACACCCCCGGGGAGAUGCCAAG